AGAGUUUGAUCCUGGCUCAGGACGAACGCUGGCGGCGUGCCUAAUACAUGCAAGUAGAACGCUGAAGAGAGGAGCUUGCUCUUCUUGGAUGAGUUGCGAACGGGUGAGUAACGCGUAGGUAACCUGCCUUGUAGCGGGGGAUAACUAUUGGAAACGAUAGCUAAUACCGCAUAACAAUGGAUGACCCAUGUCAUUUAUUUGAAAGGGGCAAAUGCUCCACUACAAGAUGGACCUGCGUUGUAUUAGCUAGUAGGUGAGGUAACGGCUCACCUAGGCGACGAUACAUAGCCGACCUGAGAGGGUGAUCGGCCACACUGGGACUGAGACACGGCCCAGACUCCUACGGGAGGCAGCAGUAGGGAAUCUUCGGCAAUGGGGGCAACCCUGACCGAGCAACGCCGCGUGAGUGAAGAAGGUUUUCGGAUCGUAAAGCUCUGUUGUAAGUCAAGAACGAGUGUGAGAGUGGAAAGUUCACACUGUGACGGUAGCUUACCAGAAAGGGACGGCUAACUACGUGCCAGCAGCCGCGGUAAUACGUAGGUCCCGAGCGUUGUCCGGAUUUAUUGGGCGUAAAGCGAGCGCAGGCGGUUUGAUAAGUCUGAAGUUAAAGGCUGUGGCUCAACCAUAGUUCGCUUUGGAAACUGUCAAACUUGAGUGCAGAAGGGGAGAGUGGAAUUCCAUGUGUAGCGGUGAAAUGCGUAGAUAUAUGGAGGAACACCGGUGGCGAAAGCGGCUCUCUGGUCUGUAACUGACGCUGAGGCUCGAAAGCGUGGGGAGCGAACAGGAUUAGAUACCCUGGUAGUCCACGCCGUAAACGAUGAGUGCUAGGUGUUGGAUCCUUUCCGGGAUUCAGUGCCGCAGCUAACGCAUUAAGCACUCCGCCUGGGGAGUACGACCGCAAGGUUGAAACUCAAAGGAAUUGACGGGGGCCCGCACAAGCGGUGGAGCAUGUGGUUUAAUUCGAAGCAACGCGAAGAACCUUACCAGGUCUUGACAUCCCGAUGCUAUUUCUAGAGAUAGAAAGUUACUUCGGUACAUCGGUGACAGGUGGUGCAUGGUUGUCGUCAGCUCGUGUCGUGAGAUGUUGGGUUAAGUCCCGCAACGAGCGCAACCCCUAUUGUUAGUUGCCAUCAUUCAGUUGGGCACUCUAGCGAGACUGCCGGUAAUAAACCGGAGGAAGGUGGAGAUGACGUCAAAUCAUCAUGCCCCUUAUGACCUGGGCUACACACGUGCUACAAUGGUUGGUACAACGAGUUGCGAGUCGGUGACGGCAAGCUAAUCUCUUAAAGCCAAUCUCAGUUCGGAUUGUAGGCUGCAACUCGCCUACAUGAAGUCGGAAUCGCUAGUAAUCGCGGAUCAGCACGCCGCGGUGAAUACGUUCCCGGGCCUUGUACACACCGCCCGUCACACCACGAGAGUUUGUAACACCCGAAGUCGGUGAGGUAACCUUUUGGAGCCAGCCGCCUAAGGUGGGAUAGAUGAUUGGGGUGAAGUCGUAACAAGGUA
rnacentral:rRNA from 1 species